CUGAGAUGAAUCAGCUCAUCGUGUCCUUCCUCGGGACUCUAUGGUUAAGAGUCGAGGAUCUGGGGACAGAGGAUCCCGGGCCCCACUGCAGUCAGCGCCCCGCUCCAGGUAGGCAGAGCCUUUACUGACAGAGUCUUGUCAAGACUCAACAGGGCAGGUGUACUGGGACCAGAAGCCGAGGAAGGUGAUUCCCCAAAGUGAAUUUGAGGUGCUCUUACCAGAGAAGGGUUAUGGAGGCUGGUGGGUCAAAACCAACAGUGUAUACCACUGUCCCCAUUUCAUAGGAUGAAGAAAUAGAAGUGCCAAGAAUUUCAGCGAUGUAUCCAGAGAGCCACGGAAGUGAAGCCAGGGAUGUCAUUCAAGCCGUCCGACUGAAGUACCAUGAGCUUCCCCCACCCCCACUUCUGAUUUUAUUAUGGAGACGAUAUGAAAACAGGAAAGACUGCUUUGAGAAGAAUCCCCCAUCAUUCCGUCAGUGUAACUGUUGCCCGCUUCCUCCCCGAUUCGUCCUCAGUGUGUUUUCAUUGUCACACAGCUUCGAUCCCAGGGUCUCUGCACUGUCCCCACUCACCGGCGAGGCUCCUUGGGCUGGUGAAUUCUGUUGACUGAUAUUUCUGAGACUACACUUGUCGGUCUGGCUUGCAGCUGGAAUUGGAGAGGAAAUUUAUUUCCACGAAUGGAGAAGUGUCAGAGUGAGCAGGCACAGAACAGGCUCACGAGAAUAAUUUCGGGGCGAAAUGACUUUAGAAGAUCAACCAGCCAACCAAAUAUAAGGAAGUUACAUGGUGCCGUUAGUGCAGAAACUUCCAAAUGGAUGCAAGAAUCAAAGCCUUCAAGAAGCUGAUGUGAUUGGCACUUGGAAUAGCAGAGACAGAUGUGCAACACAGCUUGACUAUGGGGCAGGAGACCUUGGGCUGACUCCAGCUUUGCCUCCUGCCAGAUGUCUCAUCCUUGGAUUUGAAGUGGCAGAAAGUGCUCUAUACCACACCGAGUAAGCCUCAAUAAAAAUGUCUUCAUCUGACUUUCAAAAAGACUGCGGGCAAGGCUCCCUUGGAGGAAUGCGGUGGAGAGGUCCGGCAUCUGGACAUUCCUUCCGCGUGAUGGCACACAUCUGGCUCUUUGGAAUGAGCAGAACAUUUCCCUUCCAGUUUCCCUCCAGAUGUCUGAGGAUGUGAAGCUACAGCCCAAGAGUCCAGACACACAGGAAGACUACAGUUCUAUGCAGUAGCACUUAAUUGAUUGUGAGAUCGUGUAUCCCUCUUGUACCCCCGCUGAGGAGGCUGUGGGGGCGCAGUGUCUCAGCCUGACACUGAGUCAACUGCACGGAAGGUGGGUGCUCUGAAGAGUUGCCUGGAGCUGCAGGGGAAUUUGUGUGAAUGAGAAAUAAACCACUGUCUUGUUAAGCCAUUGAGGUUUGGGGGUUUUUUGUAGCCACGGCGUAACCCAACCUUUCCUAAUAAAUGUGUUUUCUGAUUGACAAAUUCAAAUGAUCAAUUUGAUGUUUUUCUGUUUUACUUUGUAUAUAAAUUCAAAGAGAAUUUUGAAAAAGCAGAUUUAAAAAAGUGAAUUCAUUUUUGUAAAAAUUACUUUUGAAGUAUAGUUGACAUGUAAUGUUAUAUUAGUUUCAGGUGUAUAACACAGUGAAAAAGCAGAUUUUUGAUGUUGUGUAAUAUGUUAGGGGGAGAAAGCUUGGCUAGAAAUUAGAAAUCUAUGGAAAAAAAUUAGAAAAAAGAGUGAGAAGUAUUAUUGUCUAACAAAAAGAAAAGAAUUCACUUCAAGUCCAUCUUGUCUCAUUCUUGGACAUUAAUAGGGUGACAGAAAAAUCACAGAACUAAGUGAUGUAUAUUCUGACAUGUGACAUCCAAGGAGGAGGUUUACAGGUAGUGUGAGAGAUGCUAAGAAAAUCAAAAUGUCUAAGGAUGUUGCAGAUUCUUUCUCUGGAAAUAGUGUCGGCACCUCUGAACACACAGUUAUAAACUGGCUUUCUAUGAAGGCCUCAGUUUCUGGAAUCACUGGAGAUCAGUUUUGAAGUAGGUCAGAUCUAUUAUAAACCUCUUUAAAAUUUUUUUUAAGACUUUAUUUAUUUAUUUGAGAGAGAGAGUGAGAGACAGAGAGAGAGCGAGCUGG